rnacentral:rRNA from 1 species
UACGGGGGGGGUAAGCGUUGUUCGGAAUUACUGGGCGUAAAGGGCUCGUAGGCGGCCAACUAAGUCAUACGUGAAAUCCCUCAGCUUAACUGGGGAACUGCGUGUGAUACUGGAUGGCUUGGAUUUGGGAGAGGGAUGCGGAAUUCCAGGUGUAGCGGUGAAAUGCGUAGAUAUCUGGAGGAACACCGGUGGCGAAGGCGGUUCUCUGGGCAUGAUCUGACGCUGAGGAGCGAAAGUGUGGGGAGCGAACAGG